rnacentral:rRNA from 1 species
UACGUAGGGUGCAAGCGUUGUCCGGAAUUAUUGGGCGUAAAGAGCUCGUAGGCGGUCUGUCGCGUCGGCUGUGAAAACCCGAGGCUCAACCUCGGGCCUGCAGUCGAUACGGGCAAACUAGGGUACUGCAGGGGAGACUGGAAUUCCUGGUGUAGCGGUGAAAUGCGCAGAUAUCAGGAGGAACACCAGUGGCGAAGGCGGGUCUCUGGGCCGAUACUGACGCUGAGGAGCGAAAGCGUGGGGAGCGAACAGG